CUACAGAUAUACUUUGCCUGUUUUUAGCAGUGGUGAUGCCUGUCUAUCACACAGUGUGAACACUGAAGGUUUUCAUGCUUCGUUACAAAAGAGGACAUGCCCUGAGAAACCCAGAUACCUGUUUUAUUGAGUUCAUUUCAAAAUCUGGAAUAACCCCUGAUCUCAAAGUUGGCAAACCCUCAGUAAUGGCCACCUAAAGCUGCUUAUUUUAGUCGAAAAUGGCUAAAAUGACUACAGUUGCAAGAAUCUUUCCCCCACAAACCCUUAACAGCAACAAUAAUGACUGUGUUAAAUCAGACCUCACUGCAAUGUAAUGAAGCCUGUCUGACAUAUUGCAGAUCCAGUGGCUUGAUGAAUUUAGGCAGCGAUUUGAAGACAAAGUCAACAAACCUUUGUGUGUAUUUUUAGAUUGUUUAGCUUGGGA